UACGGAGGGUGCGAGCGUUGUCCGGAAUCACUGGGCGUAAAGGGCGCGUAGGCGGCUUGGGAAGUCCGUGGUGAAAGCUCGAGGCUCAACUUCGAGUCGGCCAUGGAUACUCCUGAGCUCGAGUCGACUAGAGGCAGAUGGAAUUCCGGGUGUAGCGGUGGAAUGCGUAGAGAUCCGGAAGAACACCGGUGGCGAAGGCGGUCUGCUGGGGUCGAACUGACGCUGAGGCGCGACAGCGUGGGGAGCAAACAGG
rnacentral:rRNA from 2 species